rnacentral:rRNA from 1 species
UACGUAGGUGGCAAGCGUUGUCCGGAUUUAUUGGGUUUAAAGGGUGCGUAGGCGGUUCUAUAAGUCAGUGGUGAAAUCCGGCAGCUCAACUGUCGAUGUGCCAUUGAUACUGCAGAACUUGGGUACAGACGAGGUAGGCGGAAUUGACGGUGUAGCGGUGAAAUGCUUAGAUAUCGUCAAGAACACCGAUAGCGAAGGCAGCUUACUAGACUGUAACUGACGCUGAUGCACGAAAGUGUGGGGAUCAAACAGG